AUGGAGUUGCACGCGCUCUGUGGAUUCCUCUACUGGCUGCUGCUGCCGCUCUCGCUUCUAGCGGCCUGCCUGUUCCGGGUCAAUGGUCUGUCAUUCAUUUAUCUACUUUUCCUGCUGCUCUUACCCUGGUUCCUGGGGCCCACCAAACACAGCAUCAGAGGUGAGGAAAGAGCUGAACCUCCAUUUGGUUUGGUUGGGAAGCAGCUGGUUGGGAAUGGGGGAAGGGGGAUGUUUGGCAUUCCUCCACCCAAGUGCUCAGGGCUCAGGGCUCCCCCAGAAUGUCACAUGCCCUCCUCUGCUUCUAGAAGCUUGAUGGUACCGAUGGACUACAGGCUCCAUGAACUCUGCUCACAGGAAAGAAAAGGCAGUAGGUUAUUCCUGGUGACCAUUUCCCCCCCAUGAAACAGUCAUCUUGGGGAAAUUGAGGAGGGAGAGUGCAUUUUUAGCUGAGAGAAUCAAGGAAAGCUUCUCAGAGGAGAUGACACCUGGGAUGAACCUUAAAGGGAGAUAAAUAUUCUGAGAAGUGAGGAGAGUGCCCUUCAGGAAGGGGGCAUGGCCUACAAGUGAAGCCCAGGGCAGAAGUUCUGUGCUGAAGCCACUGGCCAAGGCUGAGCUAAGCACACCAGCUUGCCAGAGAGGGUCACUUGCCAGUGGCCUCCUUUCUAGGUCUUCAGGAUGUUCCAGGGAACAUUUAGAACACAGUUCUGCCCUCCAGCUAGGGAAAAGACAUGAGGUAGAUGCCAAAUGAGGUUCCUGGACCAAGCUCAUCAUCCCUGAUGCUAAUGAACUAACCCAGUGGGUCUCCUGUCCAACUGCAUGGAAUGAAGACAUUUUGUCAGGGCCAUGUAGGAUUCAUGGAGGAGGAGCAUGUGUUAAGGUGAAGGUCAAUAGCUGGGCAGCCCCUAAGGGAUGAGCAUGAAACAGAUAAAGAAGAUGGAGGAUUGUGUAGGGGAGGAUUUACGGAGAGACAUGGUCAAUGGUGAGAAGGCAUGGCUGGGUUGUGAUGUGAAUUGGGUGCAGGGGUUGGAGUCAGGAAGAUCUGAGUUCAAAUCCAGCCUCAGGCACUUGCUGUGUGACCCUGAGCAAGUCAACUUUGGUCUGCCUCAGUUACCUGAACUGUAAAACAAGGCUAAUAAUAGCCCCUCCCUCCCAGGGUUGUUAUGAGGAUCAAAUGAGAUAAUAUUUGUAAAAAUGUCUCGCACUAAUACUCACUUGAUAAAUGCUUGCUUCCAUCCUUCCUUCCCCCAUCCCUACCACCUCCCCUCUCCCGCCCCACUCCGACUAAUGAAAUCACUGACCUCUUCAAGUAUUGAGGGAUAUGAACAAGGAUUUCUGUGAGUUUCAAGGAGGAAGAGAACCAGAGACAGAUGGAGGAGUCAGUGGUCAGACCACAACUGGAGUA
rnacentral:lncRNA from 1 species